UGCAGAAAAAUCCACAAAUAGGUCGACUCCACCCACCGUCUACUUAACCCAAUCAGAUAAUGCCCGUGUUGCGCUAACCAAUCGCAGGACGCUCUCUCUCCAACCAAUCACGUUUUGCAUAACAACCAGGGCGGGAACAGACACAUGAACGCGAGUCACUCACUACAGUCUCUUCAACAUGGCCGAUCAGGAGGAGUAAAGACAGGACAGUGAGGCAGUAAAUGACAGAGUAAUCCACUUUCUGAAGCUUGGAUUACCCAGGAAACCAUCAGUAACAUUUUAGGUGUCACUCAUACAACUAUAGUUCGUCGGAUGAGAGAAUGUGGUUGGCCAGUAACAAAAUCCAAUAAUUAACCCUGAGACAAAGUAUUCAGACUCAAUGGCAGUUGAACAAGAUGGUGGAGAUGCUGACCAUGUUCACUUUGCAGUCAAUGUGCCUGUAAUUCACAGGCUACAACUCACAAAUGAGCAAAUUGACCCACUGCAAGUGUUUGAUUCAUUUGGAGUAGAUGUAUACCUACAGACUCUCACAUAUGUACAGACUUUGAUUGAAGAAAGGGAUAUUUGAAGUUUUAUUUCUGCUGCUCUAAUUUUGACAGCAAGGUUGUAAAUGUGUGUAUAUAUAGUUGUAUAUUAGAGAACUUGUGGAAACAACCUUUUAA